GACGAACGCGGCGGCGUGCCUAAUACAUGCAAGUAGAACGCUGAAGGAGGAGCUUGCUUCUCCGGAUGAGUUGCGAACGGGUGAGUAACGCGUAGGUAACCUGCCUGGUAGCGGGGGAUAACUAUUGGAAACGAUAGCUAAUACCGCAUAAGAGUAGAUGUUGCAUGACAUUUACUUAAAAGGUGCAAUUGCACCACUACCAGAUGGACCUGCGUUGUAUUAGCUAGUUGGUGGGGUAACGGCUCACCAAGGCGACGAUACAUAGCCGACCUGAGAGGGUGAUCGGCCACACUGGGACUGAGACACGGCCCAGACUCCUACGGGAGGCAGCAGUAGGGAAUCUUCGGCAAUGGACGAAAGUCUGACCGAGCAACGCCGCGUGAGUGAAGAAGGUUUUCGGAUCGUAAAGCUCUGUUGUAAGAGAAGAACGAGUGUGAGAGUGGAAAGUUCACACU
rnacentral:rRNA from 1 species